rnacentral:rRNA from 1 species
AUUGAACGCUGGCGGCAGGCUUAACACAUGCAAGUCGAGCGGGGGAAGGUAGCUUGCUACUGGACCUAGCGGCGGACGGGUGAGUAAUGCUUAGGAAUCUGCCUAUUAGUGGGGGACAACAUCUCGAAAGGGAUGCUAAUACCGCAUACGUCCUACGGGAGAAAGCAGGGGAUCUUCGGACCUUGCGCUAAUAGAUGAGCCUAAGUCGGAUUAGCUAGUUGGUGGGGUAAAGGCCUACCAAGGCGACGAUCUGUAGCGGGUCUGAGAGGAUGAUCCGCCACACUGGGACUGGGACACGGCCCAGACUCCUACGGGAGGCAGCAGUGGGGAAUAUUGGACAAUGGGGGGAACCCUGAUCUAGCCAUGCCGCGUGUGUGAAGAAGGCCUUAUGGUUGUAAAGCACUUUAAGCGAGGAGGAGGCUACUUUAGUUAAUACCUAGAGAUAGUGGACGUUACUCGCAGAAUAAGCACCGGCUAACUCUGUGCCAGCCGCCGCCGUAA